rnacentral:rRNA from 1 species
UACGUAGGGUGCGAGCGUUAAUCGGAGUUACUGGGCGUAAAGCGUGCGCAGGCGGUCUGUUAAGACCGAUGUGAAAUCCCCGGGCUCAACCUGGGAAUGGCAUUGGAUACUGGCUCGCUAGAGUGCGGUAGAGGGUGGUGGAAUUCCCGGUGUAGCAGUGAAAUGCGUAGAGAUCGGGAGGAACAUCUGUGGCGAAGGCGGCCACCUGGACCGACACUGACACUGAGGCACGAAAGCGUGGGGAGCAAACAGG